rnacentral:rRNA from 1 species
UUUUAUGAGAGUUUGAUCCUGGCUCAGGACGAACGCUGGCGGCGUGCCUAAUACAUGCAAGUCGAACGCUUCUUUUUCCACCGGAGCUUGCUCCACCGGAAAAAGAAGAGUGGCGAACGGGUGAGUAACACGUGGGUAACCUGCCCAUCAGAAGGGGAUAACACUUGGAAACAGGUGCUAAUACCGUAUAACAAUCAAAACCGCAUGGUUUUGAUUUGAAAGGCGCUUUCGGGUGUCGCUGAUGGAUGGACCCGCGGUGCAUUAGCUAGUUGGUGAGGUAACGGCUCACCAAGGCCACGAUGCAUAGCCGACCUGAGAGGGUGAUCGGCCACAUUGGGACUGAGACACGGCCCAAACUCCUACGGGAGGCAGCAGUAGGGAAUCUUCGGCAAUGGACGAAAGUCUGACCGAGCAACGCCGCGUGAGUGAAGAAGGUUUUCGGAUCGUAAAACUCUGUUGUUAGAGAAGAACAAGGAUGAGAGUAACUGUUCAUCCCUUGACGGUAUCUAACCAGAAAGCCACGGCUAACUACGUGCCAGCAGCCGCGGUAAUACGUAGGUGGCAAGCGUUGUCCGGAUUUAUUGGGCGUAAAGCGAGCGCAGGCGGUUUCUUAAGUCUGAUGUGAAAGCCCCCGGCUCAACCGGGGAGGGUCAUUGGAAACUGGGAGACUUGAGUGCAGAAGAGGAGAGUGGAAUUCCAUGUGUAGCGGUGAAAUGCGUAGAUAUAUGGAGGAACACCAGUGGCGAAGGCGGCUCUCUGGUCUGUAACUGACGCUGAGGCUCGAAAGCGUGGGGAGCAAACAGGAUUAGAUACCCUGGUAGUCCACGCCGUAAACGAUGAGUGCUAAGUGUUGGAGGGUUUCCGCCCUUCAGUGCUGCAGCUAACGCAUUAAGCACUCCGCCUGGGGAGUACGACCGCAAGGUUGAAACUCAAAGGAAUUGACGGGGGCCCGCACAAGCGGUGGAGCAUGUGGUUUAAUUCGAAGCAACGCGAAGAACCUUACCAGGUCUUGACAUCCUUUGA